CAUCUAUGGUCUGUUAUAAUUUGCUUUUUAUGCAAAUAGUAAGCAAAAAUUAAAGCAAAACUGUACAAGUUACAUAUAUAGUACUAUAUCAGUACUAUACACGAACUUUUAUCGCUGGAUAAUGUUGCGAUUUUUCAUUCAAUUCAAUCAUAUAUAUGCUCAAAAUCUUCGCGUAAGUUUCUCUUUACCAUAAAAUUUGACCGAAUAAGUUUCAAAACAAUGCGACGGCAAAAAAUGAAAGAAUCCUGAUUUUCGUAAUAGAAUCUAUAGUCUUUUUGCCCUGUUGUACCGCCAUCUUGGAUUUAUCAUGUAGGCCCCGCCUGCGCUAGGUAUGCGCAUGGAUAAUAAAAUAAAUGGAUAUGAAACUUCUGACGUCAUUGACUGCAUCCUUGUUGAAAAACGUGACGUCACGCGUAUUGCGAAUAUUACCAAAGUUCUCG